GUGACCAGCACGGACUACCGGCCGCUAUGGAGUGAGCGGAACGGACGAGAAUGGUAGCCUCCACGCGACGCUAUCAAGCUGUUACUGUGAAUCAUCACAUGCUAUCUUGACGUGUGGCUUAUCAGAUUAUUCCAAGGACGGCUUCAUCUGUAGUGGUUACAGCAUUGUUGAGAGCCGGCCCAACACCAUCGGUUGUGAACAUUGUCCUCAAGGAAAAGAAAUACAAAGGCCUGAUGAUUCAACAUGCACAAAUAUCCCGUCAGUAACAACGACUGGACAAAGGUGACUGU